rnacentral:misc_RNA from 1 species
GAUGAAGAACGUAGCGAAAUGCGAUAAGUAAUGCGAAUUGCAGAAUUCAGUGAGUCAUCGAAUCUUUGAACGCACAUUGCGCCCUGUGGUAUUCCGCAGGGCAUGCCUGUUCGAGCGUCAUUUCAACCCUCAAGCCCCGCUUGGUGUUGGCCCUGCCCGCUGCGGCCGGCCCUAAAGACAGUGGCGGUGCCGCCUGGCCCUGAGCGUAGUACAUCUCUCGCUCCAGUGCCCGGUGGUAGCCUGCCAGAACCCCAACUCUCGUGGUUGACCUCGGAUCAGGUAGGGAUACCCGCUGAACUUAAGCAUAUCAAUAAGCGGAGGA